GAGAGCACUGUUUAUGCUGAUGUGAAGACCACAUCAUCUAAAGAUGAUGAAGUGACCUAUGCUCAAGUACUCCCCAAUAAACGUAAAGCAAAAGGAAAGAAAGGGAGGACAGCUCCAGCAGCCACUGAAGAAACAGUUUAUUCAGAAGUCAAAGCAGAAACCACUCAUGCUGAAUGAGGAAACUUCAUCACCACCACCAACAUAAAAGAGGGACACACUCUGAUCUAUCCUUCUCUGAUCUGAUCAAUUAUCCUUUUGAUUGUUUUUAGGUUUUUGCAUCUAUUCAUGCACAACACUUUGUUUCAGCUAAUUUUUUAAAAAUGCGUAAAGUCGAGCUGAGUUUUGAC